UACAGAGGAUGCAAGCGUUGUCCGGAAUCAUUGGGCGUAAAGCGCGCGUAGGUGGCCAUUUAAGUCCGCUGUGAAAGUCAAAGGCUCAACCCUUUGAAAGCCGGUGGAUACUGGAUGGCUAGAGUACGGAAGAGGCGAGUGGAAUUCCUGGUGUAGCGGUGGAAUGCGCAGAUAUCAGGAGGAACACCAAUAGCGAAGGCAGCUCGCUGGGACGUUACUGACACUGAGGCGCGAAAGCGUGGGGAGCGAACAGG
rnacentral:rRNA from 1 species